rnacentral:rRNA from 1 species
AUUGAACGCUGGCGGCAGGCUUAACACAUGCAAGUCGAACGAUGAUUAUCUAGCUUGCUAGAUAUGAUUAGUGGCGGACGGGUGAGUAACAUUUAGGAAUCUGCCUAGUAGUGGGGGAUAGCUCGGGGAAACUCGAAUUAAUACCGCAUACGACCUACGGGUGAAAGGGGGCGCAAGCUCUUGCUAUUAGAUGAGCCUAAAUUAGAUUAGCUAGUUGGUGGGGUAAAGGCCCACCAAGGCGACGAUCUGUAACUGGUCUGAGAGGAUGAUCAGUCACACCGGAACUGAGACACGGUCCGGACUCCUACGGGAGGCAGCAGUGGGGAAUAUUGGACAAUGGGGGCAACCCUGAUCCAGCCAUGCCGCGUGUGUGAAGAAGGCCUUUUGGUUGUAAAGCACUUUAAGCAGGGAGGAGAGGCUAAUGGUUAAUACCCAUUAGAUUAGACGUUACCUGCAGAAUAAGCACCGGCUAACUCUGUGCCAGCAGCCGCGGUAAUACAGAGGGUGCGAGCGUUAAUCGGAAUUACUGGGCGUAAAGCGAGUGUAGGUGGCUCAUUAAGUCACAUGUGAAAUCCCCGGGCUUAACCUGGGAACUGCAUGUGAUACUGGUGGUGCUAGAAUAUGUGAGAGGGAAGUAGAAUUCCAGGUGUAGCGGUGAAAUGCGUAGAGAUCUGGAGGAAUACCGAUGGCGAAGGCAGCUUCCUGGCAUAAUAUUGACACUGAGAUUCGAAAGCGUGGGUAGCAAACAGGAUUAGAUACCCUGGUAGUCCACGCCGUAAACGAUGUCUACUAGCCGUUGGGGUCCUUGAGACUUUAGUGGCGCAGUUAACGCGAUAAGUAGACCGCCUGGGGAGUACGGCCGCAAGGUUAAAACUCAAAUGAAUUGACGGGGGCCCGCACAAGCGGUGGAGCAUGUGGUUUAAUUCGAUGCAACGCGAAGAACCUUACCUGGUCUUGACAUAGUGAGAAUCCUGCAGAGAUGCGGGAGUGCCUUCGGGAAUUCACAUACAGGUGCUGCAUGGCUGUCGUCAGCUCGUGUCGUGAGAUGUUGGGUUAAGUCCCGCAACGAGCGCAACCCUUUUCCUUAUUUGCCAGCGGGUUAAGCCGGGAACUUUAAGGAUACUGCCAGUGACAAACUGGAGGAAGGCGGGGACGACGUCAAGUCAUCAUGGCCCUUACGACCAGGGCUACACACGUGCUACAAUGGUAGGUACAGAGGGUUGCUACACAGCGAUGUGAUGCUAAUCUCAAAAAGCCUAUCGUAGUCCGGAUUGGAGUCUGCAACUCGACUCCAUGAAGUCGGAAUCGCUGGUAAUCGCAGAUCAGAAUGCUGUGGUGAAUACGUUCCCGGGCCU